GUGAGCAUGGACAGGUGAGAUUGGACAGGUGAGAUAUGGACAGGUGAGAUGGGACAGGUGAGAUAUGGACAGGUGAGAUAUGGACAGGUGAGAUGGGACAGGUGAGAUAUGGACAGGUGAGAUAUGGACAGGUGAGAUAUGGACAGGUGAGAUGGGACAGGUGUGGGACCUAAACCAGUAUAACCAAUAUAACCCAGUAAAACCAGUAUAAAUGAUCAUUCCCAGUAUAAACCAAUAUAACCCAUUAAAACCAGUACAAACCAGU